UUGGAGGCUGCAGUGUCAUGGU
rnacentral:miRNA from 1 species